rnacentral:rRNA from 1 species
GGGGGGGGGGGGGGGCGGGGCGGGGGCAUGGGGGGGGGGCGGGACGGGCGGGGCUGGGGGGGGACGGGUGCGUAACGCGUGGGGACCGGGGCUUAGGUGCGGAAUGACUCCCCGGAAGGGGUGUUAAUACGGGAUCAGGUCUUCGGACCAAAGAUUUAUCGCCUUUGGAUGGGCCCGCGUUGGAUUAGCUAGUUGGUAGGGUAAAAGCCUACACAGGCGACGAUCCAUAGCUGGUCUGAGAGGAUGAUCAGCCCCACUGGGACUGAGACACGGCCCAGAAUCCUACGGGAAGCAGCAGUGGGGAAUAUUGGACAAUGGGCGAAAGCCUGAUCCAGCAAUGCCGCGUGAGUGAUGAAGGCCUUAGGGUUGUAAAGCUCUUUUACCCGGGAUGAUAAUGACAGUACCGGGAGAAUAAGCUCCGGCUAACUCCGUG